rnacentral:ncRNA from 1 species
UUCUUCAGGGCAGGGUGCGAUUCCCGACCGGCGGUACAGUCCGCGAGCCCCCCGGGGCACGAACCGGUGAAAUUCCGGUACCGACAGUAUAGUCUGGAUGGAAGAGGAA